AAGGAAUACCCCUUGAAGACGACGAGGUAGAUAGGUUGGAGGUGGAAGUGCAGCAAUGCAUGGAGCUGACCAAUACUAAUCGGUCGAGGGCUUAUCCUAAUAU
rnacentral:rRNA from 1 species